rnacentral:rRNA from 1 species
UGGGGAAUUUUGGACAAUGGGCGCAAGCCUGAUCCAGCAAUGCCGCGUGCAGGAUGAAGGCCUUCGGGUUGUAAACUGCUUUUGUACGGAACGAAAAGGCUCUGGUUAAUACCUGGAGCAUAUGACGGUACCGUAAGAAUAAGCACCGGCUAACUACGUGCCAGCAGCCGCGGUAAUACGUAGGGUGCGAGCGUUAAUCGGAAUUACUGGGCGUAAAGCGUGCGCAGGCGGUUUUGUAAGACAGAGGUGAAAUCCCCGGGCUCAACCUGGGAACUGCCUUUGUGACUGCAAGGCUGGAGUGCGGCAGAGGGGGAUGGAAUUCCGCGUGUAGCAGUGAAAUGCGUAGAUAUGCGGAGGAACACC